GGUUAAGUUAAUAAGGGCGCACGGUGGAUGCCUUGGCACUAGGAGCCGAUGAAGGACGUGAUUAACGACGAAAUGCUUUGGGGAGCUGUAAGUAAGCA
rnacentral:rRNA from 1 species